rnacentral:rRNA from 1 species
UGUUUUAAUAAGUGUUGUAAAGCUUUCAUUCAAUUGGAUGAAUACCGGUUAAUCUUGUGCCAGCUGCAGCGGUAAAGCAAGUGGUGUAAACGUUCUAUAGGUUUAUUAGGUGUAAAGAGUGAUUUGGAAUGUGAAUAGGAAUCUGUUUUUCAAAUCUCCAUCUCAUUCGAUGCAUGAUGCAUGUUAAGAUGAACAUGUUAAGCAUUAUAAGGAAGCAUUAUAAGGUGUUAUUAUUCUUUGGCCCAAGUUGUGUUAUAAGGUAUUCUAGAUUUGAUGUGGUGUAGGAAUGUUAAUAGUAAUAGUGAAAUGUAUAUAGAAUUGGUAUAAAAUAAAUUGGAUAUUGGUAGCUUGAAAAGGUAGAUAUUCGAUUCACGAAAGCUUGAGGUGUGACAGGGAUUUGAGACCCCUUUAAUUCGAGACUGAAAUUAUGCAGGCAAUGUUUGUGGAUCUCUUUUUAACAAAUAAAGGUUCUUUUCCUAAGGAGUACGCUUUCACUUGUGAAACUUAAAUGUUCUGGUGGUGGUUUAGAACAAUAGUGGAAUAGAUGAUUUAAUUCGAUGAAAUGCGAUAAAGCUUAUCUGUUAUCUGAAAUAAUACCUAGGUAUAGGUAGAAUUCUAUUCGAGGGAGUGCAUGGCUGUUGGAGGGUAAUGUUUUGUAAUAUCUGGUUUCGGACAGGAAUAGCCGAUACACUUUUAGUUGUUAUAGGUCUUUUGCAUCUUUUCAUAUGGUCUUUUAGAUAGAAUAACGUCGAGUCAUUAUGCUCUUUAGUUCGGAGAUAUUCAUGUGUUACUAGGAGAGGUAUAUA